rnacentral:rRNA from 1 species
UACAGAGGUCCCAAGCGUUGUUCGGAUUUACUGGGCGUAAAGGGUGCGUAGGUGGUGAGGUAAGUCUAAUGUGAAAUCUCCGAGCUUAACUCGGAAACUGCAUCGGAUACUAUCUCGCUCGAGGGUUGGAGGGGAGACUGGAAUACUUGGUGUAGCAGUGAAAUGCGUAGAUAUCAAGUGGAACACCAGUGGCGAAGGCGAGUCUCUGGACAACUCCUGACACUGAGGCACGAAAGCUAGGGGAGCAAACGGG